CUUGUGUUUUUCAGAACACCUGUAGUAAGGUUCGACCAUGUCAUUUUCAUCAAGUUUAAACAUUCUAGUAUCAGCUCAAGUGCGUAUUGCCAGGCGCCUCAUAUGGGCGCUCAUUGCAAUAAGCUCCGGUUUGUUUCUGUCUCUUCAGGUAUAAAUAACUGAACUUUAGUGGGGGUUAAGUAUCAAUCUGUUAGACCCUCAGUCUAAGACUCGAUGGCUUACAAGGCCAUGUCAAGGUGCACAUUGGCCUUGACAUGUACCAAAGACAAGCAAUGUGAUAGACCAAGGUAUGCUAGAGUGAUGGCAAGGCUGCCUUGGACACUUGAGACAACGACAGGCGCAUGGCACCUACGAGGGCAUGCGUGCAGCAGUAAUAUGGCAUGGCACUGGCAUGACAUCGACACUGGUGAGGCGCAGGUGAUGGCAUGGCACAUGCAUGAAAGCAGACUUGGACGCAGGCGUGAUUGAGGCAGAGUCGCAGCAUAGGCAUUGGCGUGGCCUAAGCUGUGACAUGGCAAAGACAGCUUCAUGGAGCAAGAAAUGGCAUGGCGUAGACACAGGCGCAGACAUGACAUUGGCAAGACAUGAUGCUGGCAAGACUAGACAUGGCUGAUAUGCGUGACAAGGCAAAGACGGAAGGACUAAGUGCUGAGAAGCUGAAAAUGACUAAGUGUGUUAACAUUGACAAAAUUAACUAAAAGGGCAAAGCUGCCCAUGUGCUAGUCACAUGGGGUAGUUAUUGUGUUUGAAUUUUGAAUGUUGUAACAUGUGUAUUUUCAGAUAGUGUUUAGAUCAGUUUUGCUAUGUCAUGUGAGGAGUAUGCAGCCUUGUCCAAUGACAGUCUGCCAUGUGUCCUAAGUUGCAACUGCUGUAACUGCUUGUGCAGUAUUUAAAUGUGCUGCAAGAAAUUGUAAAGGCAUCCAGAAAAUAGUGUGUGUUGAGUGUAUGCCUUUGACAAUUUCAUGUGACGCUUCCUUUGUAAUUCUGAGAGAAAUAUAAAGGUUUGGAACGCGGUUCCUG
rnacentral:lncRNA from 1 species